UUUUUUCUGGAGCUGGAAUCUGAAUGAUUUAUUGAACAUUGCAUGCAUUGCACAUGAUUAUAUUCUAUUAGUUUUCCAUAUUCAGAUGAUAAUCUAACAAGUUUUGUUACAUAAUAUUAUUAUGAUAUGAUUUUUAUAUUUUCCUUUAACACUU